GUAGCGGUGAAAUGCGUAGAGAUCUGGAGGAAUACCGGUGGCGAAGGCGGCCCCCUGGACGAAGACUGACGCUCAGGUGCGAAAGCGUGGGGAGCAAACAGGAUUAGAUACCCCUGGUAGUCCACGCCGUAAACGAUGUCGACUUGGAGGUUGUGCCCUUGAGGCGUGGCUUCCGGAGCUAACGCGUUAAGUCGACCGCCUGGGGAGUACGGCCGCAAGGUUAAAACUCAAAUGAAUUGACGGGGGCCCGCACAAGCGGUGGAGCAUGUGGUUUAAUUCGAUGCAACGCGAAGAACCUUACCUGGUCUUGACAUCCACGGAAGUUUUCAGAGAUGAGAAUGUGCCUUCGGGAACCGUGAGACAGGUGCUGCAUGGCUGUCGUCAGCUCGUGUUGUGAAAUGUUGGGUUAAGUCCCGCAACGAGCGCAACCCUUAUCCUUUGUUGCCGGCGGUCCGGCCGGGAACUCAAAGGAGACUGCCAGUGAUAAACUGGAGGAAGGUGGGGAUGACGUCAAGUCAUCAUGGCCCUUACGACCAGGGCUACACACGUGCUACAAUGGCGCAUACAAAGAGAAGCGACCUCGCGAGAGCAAGCGGACCUCAUAAAGUGCGUCGUAGUCCGGAUUGGAGUCUGCAACUCGACUCCAUGAAGUCGGAAUCGCUAGUAAUCGUGGAUCAGAAUGCCACGGUGAAUACGUUCC
rnacentral:rRNA from 1 species